GGGAGCUAUUUAGAGGAAUGACUGUAAUAGCUACUUUCGUGAACCAGAGGUGGAAACUCCAAGAAAGUCAUACUUGAGUCAUGAAACCAUAGCUCGAAAUGUUCAAAUGUUAAGUUGAACUAAUCGGUCAGUAUUCACUAUUUAUCUAUACUUUACAAGGUAACUUGCCUAUUGAGUCAAGCAAUAUAUUGCCACAGCAGUCAUUCUUGUUUUUUUUUUUUUUUUAAACCACAAAAUCAUACUGAUAGUUUUUUCGAGGCAUUGGUGCUAAAAUUUUAAAAUUGUUAAACACUUUUAUCGAUUAUUGUCUUUUUAUGAUUUACUACAAUUAAGACUACAUGUUGAUGUCUGCAAAUGUAAGAGUUUUAGAAUAUAUAUUAGACAUGCAGCUGCAGCCUUUCUAUGCAGAUAUUCCAAUGCUAAAUUCUUUUAUUAUGAAAAAAACAACAACACACGUCUGCAAAUACAAGCUCCCCACUGAAUCUUACUAAAAAAAACAACAUAGAAACAUAGAAUGUGACGGCAGAUAAGAACCAUUUGGCCCAUCUAGUCUGCUCAAUACUCUCAUUAGUCCCUCCUGGCCUUAUCUUAUAGUUAAGAUAGGCUUAUGCCUAUCCCACGCAUGCUUAAACUCUUUCACUGUGUUAACCUCUACCACUUCAGCUGGAUGGCUAUUCCAUGCAUCCACUACCCUCUCAGUACUGUAUCAGGAAAGAAACUCUGUUUGCAAAUCUCACUCUUAGUGAACACUCAUGCUAAAAGUUUAACCCUGUUCUACCAAUAUUUAUUUUCAUCAUUCAGCAAUCAGGAACUCAUUCUUUAUCUAAGAUCCCAUUGUACAGCACUAUGGAAUUUACUGGCGCUAUAUAAAUAAUAAAAUAAUAAUAAUAUAAGAAAUUUAUAAUAACCACGUAUUAAUAUGCCACUUAUAAAUUAUUAUAUCCUUUUAUAGUUCAAUAUUGACAUAAAAUGCAAGGAUAUCACAUGCAUUAAAUUUGAUUCGACACACAUUUCUUUGGACACAUUUCCUUAAUUAUUAACUGUUGUUUUUCUCACUGGUAUUUUAAUAAAUAUUAAUAUCUUCAAAACUACAAUUACAGGUUCAGACACUCUGAUGACAGGGUACUGGAGACAAGAGAUUUAAUCAUUUGGCCCAUACGUAUCUACCUGAGAGAAAAAAAAUAUAUGUUUUAUACUGGAGAUGUUUCUAUUACGGAGCUGAUUUAUCAAGCAAAAGACAGUUUUGUUUGAGACACUUUGAUAAAUGAAUGCUUUAGUAUAACAGAAAGUCUGAAGAGAUUUUCUGAUGGUCUGGCAAAAACCUGGCUUGUUGAUUAACGUUUCUGUCAAACAUAAUUCUAUUUUUACAUCGCAAAUGUUAUUUGUACAAGGUACAGCAGAAAGUAAACAAUGAUAGACCUUCCACUUUCAACAUGCAUCAACAAACUGAUAUGUAAAAUAAUUAGACUAGACAGAAAGGCAAUCGGGAGCUCGAAGGAAGGCCAUGGAUCAAAUUUUACAUCUGGUAGGAAAAUAUCUGUUAGAUCGACAAAGCAUUGUUUGUUUACUGUGAGAGAAGCACACAAGAAAGUUGCCAUGUUGGGUAGUCAUUAGCACUAACUUUAUUGGAUCUUUGCACUAGAUUCUUGAACCAUUUUAACAUUUUGUCUAUUGCUUUAGUUGCCAAUCUUGGCCAUUCUAGAUGCUGUGCUGUACAUCUCCCAUGAUGCCCUCAGAGUGGUGGAAAAUUUAAAAAAGGGAGGAAUCACCAAUGGAAUGUUCCUACUGGUUUCCAUAGUGAUUGCCCCCCUUCAGUAAUUUAGACCACUUUUUAUAGCAGAACAAAAAUAUGAGUAUGUUGUGAUUGGAAGGGCUGUAGUCUAUGUUACAUAUUAGCUGGACGGAAGAUUAAUUAUGCAUACUGAAAGUCAGUCUAUAUUUAAAGGAACCUCAUGCUUGCGUGUCCCUUUGUUCUGAUCUUAAAGUCUUAAUUAUUUCUACUCUUACGGGAACUGCAUUGAUCUUUGUAAGACCUGACAGGGUUCUUCUCUAUACUCCAAACUGUAGUGAAUUGAAAUCUGUAGGCUACAAUUUCAGCCAUAAUCGCCUAUAUGGAAAAAUCUAUAAUUCUGCUAUAACAACAACUUAGUUAGAAGUCAAAUGUUAGUAAAUAACGCAAUCAGGGCUAUUUACUAAAGUCAGGAAGUCAAAGUGAAUUUCAAAGUUAAAGUCACACUAGCUGAAUUGGUUCAGCUAACCCUGAAUGAUUAAAGGCUUUUAAACUCACCAUUAAUUUUUCCCAAAGUAUACUUUUUAGUUUCUUAAUUUUUUUUUUUUCUUUAAAACGGCAUCAUUGAUGAUUAGCACCAUACAUUUAGAUACAGUUUUGCACACAGUGAUCCUAAAGGAUUUGUAUCAAAUCUUAACUGACUCUUCUAUUUUUACAGAAAAGCUUUUUAUAACUUUUUAAAGAAACUUAAAAUGAAAGUAAAGAGGCCCUCUUCUUAUCUUAACUUCUGAUGGCACAUAGUUUAUUGUCUG